rnacentral:ncRNA from 1 species
UUAACACAUGCAAGUCGAACGGGAAGUGGUGUUUUCAGUGGCGAACGGGUGAGUAACGCGUAAGAACCUGCCCUUGGGAGGGGAACAACAACUGGAAACGGUUGCUAAUACCCCGUAGGCUGANNNNNNCCGCCCAAGGAGGGGCUCGCGUCUGAUUAGCUAGUUGGUGAGGUAAUAGCUUACCAAGGCGAUGAUCAGUAGCUGGUCCGAGAGGAUGAUCAGCCACACUGGGACUGAGACACGGCCCAGACUCCCCUUUCGUGGAAAUACAGCGC